rnacentral:snRNA from 1 species
AUCAUUUCUUGGCCUUUUGGCUAAGAUCAAGUAUAGCUUUCUUUUUUUAAAAUAAACCUCAUCAAGGUGAAUUUUAUUAAUUAAUUUAUUUGUUUGGCUGUACUGGGUGUUAGUUGUGACACUCGAAGUCUUGCAGCAUGCGGGACCUGUUU